UACGGAGGGUGCAAGCGUUGUCCGGAUUUAUUGGGUUUAAAGGGUGCGUAGGCGGUUAAUUAAGUCAGUGGUGAAAUCCUGGAGCUCAACUUCAGAACUGCCAUUGAUACUGGUUGACUUGAGUACGGACGAGGUUGGCGGAAUUGAUGGUGUAGCGGUGAAAUGCAUAGAUACCAUCAAGAACACCGAUUGCGAAGGCAGCUAACUAGGCUGUAACUGACGCUGAGGCACGAAAGUGUGGGGAUCAAACAGG
rnacentral:rRNA from 1 species